GGCAGGCGGUGCUAAGGGUGAUGUUGACAGAUGCGUCAACCAAAACAAAGCAAAGAAGUCUCGCUAAUAAUGGAGAGGCUGCCGUCCUAAAACCAGACUGAAGGCGACUACUGCCUGCUUCCCUUCUCAGUCGCACUUGGCCAGAAAGUGCACGGGGCUCCUCCCCGGGACUCGGCAACGGCUGCGCGGUCCAGUGCGACAGGGAGGGGCCCGGCGGAAGGUAGACAGGGAGAAGAGCCACGUCCUGCUUCUGGGUGUGGGCCCUUCCGUCCACAGUGUCUGGGUGCUCCCCAGGUUUCUCAAGCCACCGCUCCGGGUGGCACCUGCCCGCUUCUCUCCCGCGGGGAGGUUGCGUUCACAACCCUCAUUUUCAGCACGGAUGUUUUCUUACUCCUAGCCGUUGGGUGCAAGCCCAGUUAGGAACCACCGAGUUGCCUGACCGCUGGGGGGAAGCAGGCUUGGAGGGUGAAACGACUCGCCUAAGGUGGCCCCACAUGGAAACCUCCCGGGGAAGCCCGUCCUAUAGGGGAAGACUCUCCACCUGACCCUCAAAGAACAGCUGGGCAACCCGUUGUGCAAGUCCACCCAGGAGAAUGUCACGUGCUCAUAGGAAGGACAACGAAGGAGGGAGGCCUGAUCUUCCUUGGGCUGGGAGGAUGGAGGCAUCCAGGCAGCUGUUGCCAAUUUCCGUGGGCUUCUGACUUGCACGUUUGGGACAUAACCUAUAUGAUGAUUGACAAGUCAGCCACAGCCCUGCUCACACUGGGAGUCCCUGCCAAAAGGGCAUCACUUUGUGUCGUCAGGAGCUUGUCAAGGGCAGGAAGGCAACAGAAGGAGCCUGAUCUGGUUGGUGGGCCUGUUCAUCUGCUGCAGCUGCCAUAACAAAGUGCCACAAACUGGAUGGGGUAAGACAGGGUCCCCAGCGCCCCGCCAGGCCACGGACCCCUAAGAGUCCCCGACCUGUUAGGAACCAGGUGGCACCGCAGAAGGUGAGCAAAGCUUCAUCUGUAUUUACAGCUGCUCCCUAUUGCUGCGUUACCACCUGAACUCUGCCUCCUGUUAGAUCAGGGGAUAUUAGAUUCUCAUAGGAGAUGGCCCCUAUCGUGAACUGUGCAUUCGAGGGAACCAGAUUGUGCUCGGUACAAGAAUUUACUGACUGGUGAUGGGAGUGGAGCUGAGGUGGAGAUGCUAGUGCUGGGAGUGGCUGCAGAUACGACUAACAUUAGCAGAGAGGUUUCACUGCACAGAGACCAACAUAAAUCAAUUGCUUGCCGACUCCCCUCAAAACCCUAUCAGUGAGUGGCAAGUGACAAGAUGCAUCUGGUGGCAGACUUUAUAGUGGCCAGUGAGUGGUUGUACUUCAGUUGUACAGCUGCAUCUGGUGGCCUUCAAAGUAUGUUUGAGACAACUUCAAAUCUCCACAUGUUCUGGAUUAAAGUCUAGGCAGAGAAUCCUGAGAUGGUCACAAAAGCACUGAAAAGCCUGCUUCCAUUUCCAAUAUCCUUUUUUUUUUUUUUUUUUAUUGAGACAAGGUCUCACUCUGUCACCCAGCUAGAGUGCAAUGGCACAAUCCCGGCUUACUGCAACCUCUGCCUCUCUGGUUCAAGGGAUUCUCAUGCCUCAUGCCUCUGUCUCCUGAGUAGCUGGGAUUACAGGCAUGCACCACCACAUUUGACUAUAUAUUUUUUUGUAUGUUUAGUAGAGAUAGAUGAUGUUUUGCUGUGUUGGUCAGGCUGGUCUUGAACUCCUUGCCUCAAGUGAUCCACCUGCCUUGGUUUCCAGAAGUGCUGGGAUUACAAGUGUGAGCCACCAUGCCUGGCCUAUUGCAACAUCCUGUCUCUGUGAAGCAGGGUUUUCUGCAGUGACAACAACCAAAAUGAGUAGACUCAACAUAAGCAACAUACUUUGGGUGUUACUGUCUCCCAUCAUCCCCCAAUGGGACCGUCUAGUUGUGGGAAAACAAGCUCAGGGUUCCCACUGAUUCUGCAUUAUGGUUAGCACUUCAGCAUCUCUUUGGAGGACUCAAUUCAGCCUGCAAUAGUCAACCUUGAUAUAACACAGAAUGCAGGGUUGUUUCUUGGACUCCCGACCUCAGGUGAUCCACCCGCCUUGGCCUCCAAAGUGCUUGGAUUACAAGUGUGAGCCACCACACCCGACCUAGAGUGGUUUCUUUCUCAGCUGUCUUCAUAUUAAGAUGAGAGGUUGAGGGCUUUGGAAAUAAAUUGUCUCCACACACAGUUUUCUGUGAUUGGUUUUGGUCUGCUGAGAAGGCUCUGACCUUUUUUUGUUUUGGGGGUUUUUUUUUUAGAUGGAGUCUUGUUCUUGUUGCCCAGGCUGGAGUGCAGUGGCACAAUCUCGGCUCAAUGCAACCUCCACCUCCAGGGUUCAGGCAAUUCUCCUGCUUCAGCCUCCCAAGUAGCAGGAACUAUAGGCAUGGGCCAUCACGCCUGGCUAGUUUUUGAAUUUUUAGUAGAAACAGGGUUUCACCACAUUGGCCAGGCUUGUCUCAAACUCCUGACUUCAAGUGAUCUGCCUGCCUCAGCCUCACAAAGUGCUGGGAUGACAGGUGUGAGCUGCCGCUUCCAGCCUAACCCUUUUUUCAUCAGACUGGCUUCAUGGGUGUGGGACCCAUGUAGUGGAUGGGGCCCCCUCCUUGGUUUAAUGCUCUGCUGUUAUCAUCUUUAAAUUAUUAAUAAAUUUUAAACAGAAGCCCUACAUUUCAUUUUGCACUGGGCCCCACAAAUUCUGUCUUAAGGCAAACAGAUCACUUCAGGCCAGGAGUUGGAGACCAGCCUGACCAACAUAGUGAAACCUCGUCUGUACUAAAAAUAUAAAAAAAUUAGUUGGGCAUGGUGGCAGGCACCUGGAAUCCCAGCUAUUUGGGAGGCUGAGGCAGGAGAAUUGCUUGAACCUGGAAGGCAGUGGUUAUAGUGAGCUGAGAUUGCGCCACUGCACUCCAGUCUGAGAGACAGAGCGUAACUCCGUCUCAAAGAAAAAAGAAAUUUGGUGAUUCUGUGUAUAGCACAUUUAGGAAAAUGUUAAAUUCAGUCAACAAAUUUCACAUAUCAGGAUGGGAGAUAAUGACUGAUUAUGAUCUGGUAGUCUUGCAACCAGUGGAGCAAGCCCAGGUAAAGCAAACACAGGCCUUACAGGAGGCAGUGAGACAGGAGGUGACAGCUGCAUUGAGAAAUCAAGUAUGCCAGUAGUGUGGUUUCCCCUAGCCUGCAGGGACAAGCCUGAAAGACCCCUAAGACAUUAAGAUAGUUCAUCCCUUUCCAGUCAGAAAAAAGUUCAGGAGUGUGGUUUUGCAUUUUCUAACCCAAGGGAAAAGGCAAUCCAAGUUCUGUGAUUCUCUGUUAUCUCCCAAUCAGAUAGCUCCUUUUAAACAAAUCUGGGGACGGGAGCAGUGGCUCAUUCCUAUAAUCUCAGCACUUUGUAAGGGCUGAAGCAAGUAGAUCACUUCAGACCAGGAGUUUGAGACCAGCCUGGCCAACGCAGUGAAAUCUCAUCUCUACUAAAAAUAGAAGAAAAUUAGUCAGGCAUGGUAGUGGGCGCCUUUCAUCCCAGCUCCUCAGUGACUGAGGCAGAAGAAUUGCUUGAACCUGGAAGGCAGUGGUUGCAGUGAGCUGAGAUCGCGCCACUGCAUUCCAGUCUGGGAGACUGAGAGCGAGACUCAGUCUCAAAACAAAAAAAUAGAACAAAGAUAUUUGGUGAUUCUGCUUAUCGCACAUUUAGGAAAACGUUAAAUUCAGGUCAACAAAUGUACCAGGAAUAGAAAGAUAAACACCGUGUGACCCUACUCUGAAUGACCUCACAAAUAUAAUGAGGAUAAUAACAAAAAUACAGAAAUAAAAGACAAUCCAAAAGUCUAAUACACUUCUGAAGGACUUAGGAUUACAUUGAGAAAAGAAGAGAGGGAGUCAGAGGAAACAUGAUGGAAGAGGUAGAAAUUGAGCUGAAUUCUGAGAUGGGUGAGACUGGAACAAAAGCAAGAAUGACAGCAAUUACUGACUAAUCACCAUGGAGUGCCAGUGACUUUAUAUGCAGAAUUUGUAUGGGCAGGUAUAGCUCAGUGGUUACACUCGUGGGCCCAGAGCCCAGUUGCUUGUUUUCAGACCCAGCUUUUACCACUCACUAUGUGACCUUAAGCAAAUUACUUAACCUCUCUACCUAAUUUUCUUCAUCUGUAAAAUAGGAAUAAUAAUAAUAGUAUCUGUGUCAUAGGGUUUUUAUGAGGCUUAAAUAGUACAAAAUUGUUAAAGUUCUUGGGACAGACCCAGACAUUUACCAGGUGCUCAAUAAAUGGAUAUUUAGGUUAAUAUUUAGAGGACUGUAUCACGUUCCAUCCAGUGGUUCCCAAAUCUGGCCGUGCAACAAAAUCACCCCAGGAAUUCUUUUUUUCAAGAUGGAGUCUCGCUCUUGUCACCCAGGCUGAAGUGCAGUGGGGCAAUCUCCGCUCACUGCAACCUCCGCCUCCUGGGUUCCAGUGAGUCUCCUGCCUCAGCUUCCCGAGUAGCUGGGAUUACAGGCACCUGCCACCACACCCAGGUCAUUUUUUUGUAUUUUUAGUAGAGAUGGGGUUUCUCCACGUUGGUCAGGCUGGUCUCAAACUCCUGACCUCAGGUGAUCCGCCUGCCUCAGCCUCUUAAAGUGCUGGGAUUACAGGAAUGAGCCACCAUGCCUGGCCAGGGUAUACCUUUAAAUACGAAUAAUGACCACAUCAGUAUCAUUAUAAUAAUGAUAACAUCAGAUAAUCAUGAGUGGUAAGACUGGAAAAAAGUCCAGCAGCCAACUCAGAAGACUUUGAAUGGUCACCCUUGGGAGUUUGGGCCUUAUUUUGUGGACAAUGGGAGGUUUUUGAGCAGUGGAAGGGACAGAUCAGAAUCACUAUGGAUCCACAUCAUGGAGGGUGGGGAGAGACUUGAGGCCUGAGACUGACUUGUUCAUUCAAGAGAAAAUGUGGGCCAGGUGCGGUGGCUCAUGCCUGUAAUCCCAGCACUUUGGGAGGUUGAGGUGGGUGGAUCAUUUGAGGUCUGGAGUUCAAUACCGCCUGACCAACAUGGUAAAACCCAUCUUUACUAAAAAUACAAGAAUUUGCUGGGCAUGGUGGCACACACCCAGCACUUUGGGAGGCUGAGGUGGGAGGAUCGAUUAAGGCUAGGAGUUGAAGACCAUCCAGGACAACAUGGCAAGACCUCAUCUCUACAAAAAAAUAAAGAAUUAUCCAGGUGUGGUGGUGCACACCUGUCGUCCCAGCUACUCAGGAGGCUGAGGCAAGAGGAUUUCUUGAGCCCAGGAGUUCAAGCUACAGUGAGCUAUGAUUAGGCUACUGCCCUCCAGCCAGGGCAACAGAGCAAGACCCCAUCUCUACAAAAAUGUUUUCAAAAAUGGGCCAGGUACAGUGGCUCACACCUGUAAUCCUAGCAAUUUGAAAGGCCAAGGUGGGUGGAUCGCUUGAGUCCAGGAGUUCAAGACCAACCUGGGCAACAUGGAAUAACUCCAUCUCUAUUUUCUUGUAAAAAUUUAUUUGAAAAAAAAAAAAAUAGAAAAAGUGGCCAGCCACAGUGGCUCAUGCCUGUAAUCCCAACACUUUGGGAAGCCAAGGUGGGCAGAUCACCUGAGGUCAAGAGUUAGAGACAAGCCUAGCCAACAUGUCGAAACUCUGUGUCUACUAAAAAUAAAAAAAUUAGCCAGGCGUGCUGGUGGAUGCCUGUAAUCCCAGCUACUUGGAGUCUGAGGCAGGAGAAUUGCUUGAAUCCAGAAGGCGGAGGUUGUGGUGAGCUGAGACUGCACCAAAGCACUCCAGCCUAGGCAACAAGAGCGAAACUCCAUCUUAAACAAACAAACAAAAAAAAUAGUAAUCUGAAGGGAAAUCCACAGUGUUAAAUGGGAUUUCUGGAAAUGUGGAACUGAAAGGAACAUGGAAACUUUGUACUUGAUUGUGGCAGUGCUGCUGUGUUGCUGUCUCUCUGUCAUGAUCGAAUUCAUGUUUGCAUUCUGAGAUGGGGACAGAAAUAAAGAGCCAAUGCCUAUCUUAUUUUGCAAUCAGGCCAUGAAGGCUGAGAAGGGGCCUUUGCAAAACCCAAGUCAGCAAAAGAUCAUUGCCAGUACUCAUGUUUUAUUUGAAGUAGUCUGGUGUGUUAGACCCUGCUGAACUUCUGUACUUUUGUGUUUUGAACUCUUGGUGGGUGUGUGUGCGUGUGUGUGUGCACGCUCAUGUGUGUUUGAAGUAAUUUAAACUCCAACCAGAAUCUGUGGUUUUUAUGGUCAUUUCUGAAGUCCUAAUUUAGCCACCCACAUGAGCCACCUUCUUUAGCCCAGGAAGUGGACAUCCUGUUCCAUACUCAUGAAACCCUACCCACAGAAACUCUCCUGCCCUUGUAAGCCAGAAGCAGCUUUCCUUCCUUACAAGAAGUAGCCCCCAAGGCAAAUCCUCCCUUAACAUUGUGGCCUGUGAUCCGGAAGUGUUUUAGUUUGAAGGAAGGAGGAAUGUCAGACUGUGGCUGUCAACUUUUGAGGACAUGGGGCACCCACUUCCAUGUUAUUCCCCUUUGCUAGCUGAUUCUUUUUAUUUUUUAAUUUUUUGAGAUGGAGUCUUUCUCUGUUGCCCAUGCUGGGGUGCAGUGGUGUGAUCUCAGCUCAUUGCAGCCUGCACCUCCCAGGUUCAAGCGAUUCUCCUGUCUCAGCCUCCUGAAUAGCUGGGAUUACAGGCGCCUGCCACCAUGCCCAGCUAAUUUUUGUAUUUUUAGUAGAGACAGGGUUUCACCAUGUUGACUAGGCUGACCUCAAGCAAUCUGCCUGUCUCAGCCUCCCAAAGUGCUGGGAUUACAGGUGUAAGCCACCACACCUGGCCGCUACCUGAUUCUUAAAGAUGUUUGUUAUAUACAGUUUUUAAAUGGAAGAAAGCGAAAACUGAGCAUUUUCGAGAACCUCAAAGUGUCUCUUGAACAGGAGACACCAAGGCGUAUGACCAGUCAAGACUGACAACGGGGGCCAAGCUAUGGCAGCAAAACAAUGGGUCUGAUAGUUAAACUCAGCUCCUAGAAAGUUUUACAGUAUACCCAGAGUUGCUGGAUAAGUCAACAUAGAAUUACCAGAUGACCCAGCAAUUCCUCUCCUAGAUAUCUCUCUAUCCAAAAGAACUGAACACUCUUCACAAAAAUUUGUCCAUGAAUAUUCAUAGCAGCAUUAUAUAUAAUAGCACAAAACGUGGAAACCAUCCAAAGGUCCACCAGCUGAAUGGAUAAGCAAAACAUAGCAUAUCCACACAAUGCAAUAUUACUUAGCUAUAAACAGGAAUGAAGGGCUGAUGCAUGCUACAACAUGGAUAAGCCUUGAAAACAUGUUGCCAAGUGAAAAAAGCCAGACACAAAAGGCCACAUAAGGCCACAUAUUGUAUCUACUUAUAUGAAAUAUCUAGAUCAGGCCAAUCCAUAGAGACAGAAAGCAGAUGAAUGGUUUCCAGGGGUUAGUGGGGAUUUACUGCUUGAAGGGUCCAGGAUUUCCUUUUGGGGUGACGGCGAUGGUUGCACAACAUUGUGAAUGUACUAAAUACCACUGAAUUACACUUUGAAAUAAAGCUGGACACAGUGGCUCACACCUGAAAUCCCGGCACUCUGGGAGGCCGAGGCAGGUGGAUCACCUGAGGUCAGGAGUUUGAGACCAGCCUGGCCAACGUGGUGAAACCCCAUCUCUACAGGAAAAAAAAUACAAAAAUUAGCUGGACAUGGUGGCAUGUGCCUGUAAUCCCAGCUACUGUGGAGGCUGCGGCACAAGAAUCACUUGAACUUGGGAGGUGGAGGUGGCAGGGGGCUGAGAUUGCACCACUGCACUCCAGCCUGGACGACAGAGUAAGACUUUGUCUCAAAUAAAUAAAAUAAGUUAAAAUGGUGAAUUUUGUGUCUUUUACCACAAUUUUUUAAAAAUCUUGGCCUGGCACAGUGGGUCAUGCUUGUAAUCCCAGCACUUUGGGAGGCUGAAGUGGGAGGAUCACGUGAGGCCAGAAGUUCAAGACCAGCCUGAGCAACACAGUGAGACCCCCGUCUUUUUUCUUUUUUUUUUUUUUUUUUAAAUAAAAAAAGGAAAGAAAGAAAGAAAAAAAAACCCUGCUUGGGCUUUCCUGUUCUGAGUGCUACUCCGCUGCCUUUCUUCCAAGAGCGGGAGGAAGGCAAAUAAAAUCACCUCCACCACACAUAGGAAACCUUCACCCCAACAAAGGACUUAGAUCCUGAAGAGGACUGGUAGGUGGGAGGAAUCUACCCGAUUUGGUCAUCUCUCCCACAGUAAAGACUUGCUUUUGCUCUAGAGCGUGCCGGGUUUAUGGCUCUUCCUGGCUGACGGGGUUUGGACCCAGGACAAACAAGUCAGGUGGAGGCCACCCUCCAGACCAGCAUCUAGGGCAAGGGUCAUGGCUGAGCUCAGAGGCCCCAGGUAACCUCUGAAGCCCGCAUUCUUUUCCCUCCAUCACAGCGUCCUUCUAAAUACUCUGAUUGCUAUUCAGUGUUUUACUUUAAACAGAAAAGAAAAAAAAAAUCAUCUUAAAUGUCAGAUACUUUUUUUCCCUUUCUUUUCUUUUCCCUCCCCUCCCCUUCCCUCCUCUUUUCUUUUCUUUCCUUUUUUCUUUUCUUUUCUCUUCUCUUCCUUUCCCCUUUCCUUUCCUUUUUCUUUUAUUUUUUGAGACAGAGCUUCCCUCUUGUUGCCCAAGCUGGAGUACAAUGGCAAAAUCCUGGCUUACUGCAAACUCCACCUCCCAGGUUCAAGCGAUUCUCCUGCUUCAGCCCCCCAAGUAGCUGGGAUUACAGGCACCCGCCACCAUGCCUGGCUAAUUUUUGUAUUUUUACUACAGACAGGGUUUCACCAUGUUGUCUAGGCUGGUCUCGAACUCCUGACCUUAGCUGAUCCACCGGCCUUGGCCUCACAAAGUGCUGGAAUUACAGGUGUGAAUCUCCACGCACAGUCUCAUGUACCUUUUCUAGUACACAGAACAUUCUGUACCCUAAGUAGGAUUUUGAUGCCGUGUUAGUUUCUUCCCUCAGCAAAACUCCCACCCUCCCCAAGCUCACUUCAGACUAGACCCAGCACUUCAGCAAAGAUGCGUAAGUCACCAGAAAUGACUUAGGGCAACAUUCUUGUUCAAAUGGAGGGAUUUUUUGAUCUCCUCCAUGAAUUUAUAUAUGCAUGCUCAGCCCUUGGAUUAAGUCCUGGACUUCGCCUCCUGUGUUUAUCAGCCCAUUGCAAACAACUGCACUGAUUCCUCCACCUCUUAUCUCUGACAUGGUCCAGCUGGUCUUUCCUGCCCUAGGCCCAUAUCCAUCACCAAGAUCUUAGGAAUUAACCCCUGGGUAUAGUUCUUUGUGAACAGGCUCCAGCCCCCUCCCUAAUACAUACCUUGCCCUUCUACCCCUGACAUUAACCAACCCUGUCUUUUUUCCAGGAAAGGACCCUGAGUAUCACGCAAGCUCUUCCCUCUGGUGUCCUCAUAAGAGCACACCUGCAUCUAAUUUGCUACAUAUCUUAGCAGCCUUUACUUUUUUCUUUCUUCAACUUUUAUUUUAAGUUCCGGGGUCCAUGUGUAGGUUGUGCAGAUUUGUUAUGUAGGUAAAUGUGUGCUUUGGUGGUUUGCUGCACAGAUCAUCCCAUCGCCUGGGUAUUUUUCUUUUUUUGAGAUGGAGUCUCACUCUGUCACCCAGGCUGGAGUGCAGUGGCACAAUCUUGGCUCACCAUAGCCUCUGCCUCCUGGGUUCAAGAGAUUCACCUCUCCCAGCCUUCCAAGUAGCUGGAAUUACAGGCAGCUGCCACCACACCUGGUUAAUUUUGGUAUUUUUAGUAGAGAUGGAAUUUCACCAUGUUUGCCAGGCUGGUCUCGAACUCUUGUCCUCAAGUGAUCUGCCCGCCUUGGCCUCCCAAAGUGCUGGGAUUGCAGGCAUAAGCCGCCGUGACCAGCCACGUGGGUAUUAAGCCCAGCAUCCAUUAACUAUUCUUCCUGUUGCUCUCCCUCCCCUCACACCCCCUCCCACACUGACAGGCCCCAGUGUGUGUUGUUUCCUCCCAUGUGUCCAUGUGUUCUCAUCAUUCAGCUCCCUUUUCUGAUCUGAAGGUUUACCUGUCUGCAGGUACAACCUAUUGACCUCCAGAGCUCUCUCUCAAGAGCUCACUUGGCGCCUUUGACAACUGGCUCAUGAGCUUCCCCUCCACCCCUUGCCCACUUUAACGACUCCAGCGUCCAGCUCGCACUCACUCUCACGAUAUUCAGCUCACUUCCCUUUAUCUCAUCUCCACUUUGCUCAGUCACCCAUGGGUAUGAUCCAUGCAUUCGUUCUUCAUUCAUUCAUUCAUCCUGCAAACACUUAUUGGGUGUCACACUGUGCUAAGCCCUGUGCUGCAUCCUAGGGUAAGAGAUGACUCAGAUAUGGUCACCCUCAGAGCUGCCAUGCAGUCAUUCAGCCAUUUCCGCAGUUAGGAUAUUGAAAUACCCCUGUGCCUAUUGAUCCAUAGCCCCUGCCCUGAGUACCCUCCAGCUGCCCCGGGCCCUCCCCUGGUCUCCCUCCCAUCCAGCAACUAAAAGGUGCAUCUCAACUCCCACCUUUGUGGACCUCAUAGGCAAAUGGUGGACACCUUAGAGUUUGGUGUGCUCAGGAUGUUUAUUUCCUCCAGAAUGUCAAGCUGUGAAGUGCACACGGAGUGACCACAGACUUCAUUGUUCUGUAUCUCCCGAUCUCCCACAUCGACUGCAUGUUCUUUUUUGUUGUCGUUGUUUGUUUUUGAAACAGUGUCUCACUCUGUGGUUCAGGCUGGAGUUUAGUGGCGCCAUCUCAGCUCACUGCAGCCUCAACCUCCUGGGUUCAGGCUUUCCUCCUGCCUCAGCCCCCAAGGAGCUGGGACUACAGGUGCAUGCCAUCACCCCUGGCUAAUUUUUGCAUUUUUAGUAGCGAUGGGGUUUCAUCAUGUUGCCUAGGCUGGUCUCAAACUCCUGACCUCAAGUGAUCCGCCUUGCCUUGGCCUCCCAAAGUGCAGGGAUUACAGACGCGAGUCACCAUGCCCGGCCCACUGCAUGUUUCUGUUGUUGUUGUUGUUUUUGAGAUGGGGUCUUGCUCUGUCGCCCAGGCUGGAGUGCAGUGGCGUGAUCUCGGCUCACUGCAACCUCUGCCUCCCGGAUUCAAGUGAUUCUCCCCACUGAACAUCCUCAGUAGCUGGGACUACAGGCGGCCACCACCAUGCCCUGCUAAUUUUUUUUUUCAUAGAGACGGGAUUUCACCAUGUUGUCCAGGUUGGUCUCAAACUCUUGGCCUUAAGUGAUCUACCUGCCUCAGCCUCCCAAAGUUCUGGGAUUAUAGGUGUGAGCCACUGCGCGCGGGCUGAGCCACCGCACCCAGCCUGCACAUUCUUUUUGUCUUCAUGCUACCAGCAUUUCACUUCUCAAGUCUUGCAGCUCAAUUCCGUCUCCCCGUCCACCUGGGAGCUCACGGUCAUCCUUCUUGAAUCCCUGCCUCGUGCCUUGUCCUUCCCUCUUUGCUUGGCCAGCCCCAUUGUUGGGGAACAUGUCACCUGCAAUUUCCAUGUUUGCUUUCUGACCUGGUGCUCGGGGCCCUACCAGGUCAGAUCACGAGGGCAGGGGUCCUGAGAGUUUUGCACCCUAGGGCUACCAGCUUCAGCUACACGUUUCUUGUUGCAUGCCAAAAAUGUCCCCACGUGUUGUUGAUUCAUCAUCGCUGCCUUUUCUGCAGUUAUUCUCUUCCUUGCAUCGUCAAUCUCUCCCCUCUGACCCAUCAAUACACUCAAGUCUCUAUUACUCGACCUUUCCCUGUAUCAGAGACUUUUAUUGCUCAAUGAAUAUUCAUAUCUUCCCCCAAAUUUCCGAGCACCCUUGCAGUUAGGUGGAACCGUGUGACUAUUUGGCUUUGGCUAAUGGGCUUUGAGUGGAAAUAAACAACGUCCUGUCUGGGUGGAAGCAUUUAAAAGCCAGAACUUGACCUUCCAGCUAUCUCUUCCCUUCUUCAAUGAGCUGGCCAAGGUGGUGGCCUCCCCAGACAGAAGUAAUUUUGAUCAUUGAGUCCUGAUGUGGAAAAGAGGAACCCUGAAGAGCUGCCUGGCUGUUGUAGGAAUAUUUGUAAAACAGAAACAGGUCUUUGUCAUGUACGCCUCUAACACAGAGGGCAGUUUGUUACUGCAGCAUAGCCUAGCAUUACCCUGACACGGGCCCUAUGAUAACAACAUCAAAGCACCUUUGCCCUCUGUUUUCCUCCAUCUCUCCACUGCUGGCUUCUUCAAGUAUGGUCUCUAAGCAGGGCUGCUGUUUUCCCUUCCUGUCCACAAAUUCUGUCCUCAAUCCCUGGCCCUUGACCUGCUGCUUUACCAAAUUAUUUGUUGCAAGCUCCCAGUGAUGCCACAACCCCAAAUUCAACAGCACCUUCAGCGGCUCCAGCCCCUUUGCAAACAACUACUAUGUGGUGGACUCUGAGCUUCUUUGACCCCCUUCUCUGGUGCCUCCUCAGUGAUCUGAGUUUUCCUCCUGUCCCUCCAAUGCUCUUUUCAAGGCUGCCUCAUCACUGACCCUUCUUCAUUCUGCCUCCUAAAUACAGCCCUUCCCAAGAUCUAGCCCUGUUCUUUUUUUGUUCUUUCUCUCUUGAUCUCACCCAAGCCAUGAUUUCCAUGUCCCUGACCAUGAGCAUGACUCCCAAAUCUAUUUACAGUCACUGAUCUCAAAGAGCUGCAGGCUAACGGGAGCACCUUGAGCUCUUUCCAGCCUCCAGGACCACAGUUCUGACCACCUGGGCAUUCUCACACUUAAAGUACCACACCCAAACCCAUUUGCUUUCUCUUUCCUUUCAGGAUUAAGCCUGUUAUUCUGCCCUUCAUAUUACAUGACUGCUACUUCUCCUCCUCUUCCUCCUUCUUCCUUUUUUAUUAUUCUUUUUAGAUAGAGUCUUGGUCUGUCACCCAGGCUGGAGUGCAGUGGCAUAAUCACAGCACUGCAGCCUCGACCUCCCAGCUCAAGCGAUCCUCCCACCUCAGCCUCUGGAGUAGCUGGAGCCACAGGUGUAUACCACCACAGCCAGCUAUUUUUUUUUUUUUUUGUAGAGAGAGAGUUUCACCAUGUUUCUCUGGCUGGUCUCAAACUCGUAGGCUCAGGUGAUCCCCCUGCCUCAGCCUCCCAAAGUGUUGGGAUUACAGACAUAAGCCACCGCCCCCGGCCCAGUGUUGUUUUCCUAUGCACACUUCCCUCACACUCCAGGAAAACUGGCUUGUUUCUUGUUCUCCAAACAUGCCCAGGGCAGUCCUUACUCUUUCUUUUACUGCUCCUGCCUGGAAAGCCUUCUUCCCACCCCAGCUCUCAUUUCUGCCUUUCUGCUGAAUCCCACCAAUUUCUGGAACUGAUGUUGUACACCAUGUUCCCUAUAAAGACUUUCCUAAUCCCCUCAACCUAACGUGUUUGCUCCCUCUUCUGCAAACAUAGACUUUUCUUCGUAACUUUUAUGAGCUAGAAUAAAAACACUUGUCCUUUCUUGCCACUGUCUUUCAUGUAUCAGACAUUCUGCUCUCUGGCCUCCCAGCCAGGUGGUCCUUCUCGGAGUAUUUGUAGAAACUGUAUUUGCGAUGGCUCCCUUUUAGGAAGUGGGUGCUUUUUUUUUUUUUUUUGUAUUUUUGCUUUCAGUCAUGGGAUGAAACCUCACUUCAAGUGGGGAAUUACCAAUGAAGCCGGUGGCUGGGCUUUCCUGGGCCCCACUUCUGUGAAUAUUCUUGGAGUUGGCAGCGUCUUUUCCCUGACAUCCUGAGCUCUCUACACAGCUAUGAACCAAACCUGGCUGCUUUGCCUGUGCCUGGAAGCCUCCCAAUCAGGUGGUUCUUCUAGAACAUUCCAACUGGUCUCAUCCCUGUGAACUCUCCUCCCUCUCACCACUCUAGACAGUCCAGGCAGGGGUCUAGAAGGGAAUUCAGUCCAUGCUGGGACUCUCCAUGUGUUAAGGAGGCCACAGCUUUCUGCCUGGGUAAGCAGAGCCCAGAGAGUGAAAAAUAGGUGGUACUGUAUUUACUUUAAAGCCACAGCGAGUCUGUGCAGGUGCUGAGGGAGGAUACUAAAUCUGGAGGCUGAAAUGCGGAGGGGAAAACUGGGCUAACUGGGCAUGGAUCCCAGGGAAGAGACAGGAGGAGCCCUGCGGGGGCUGCCGCUGGAGCUGAGGCUGGCGCUGGGCCCUGAUGGUUCCCUCCUCUGCUGGCACAGAGGAAGGGAAGGCUUCAUUGAUAGUACUUCCUACCGCACAAACUCCUCAAUGGGAAGUACCUUGUUAUCCAAAGGCAGAGAGAGAGAGAUGCAGCAUGACACUGUAUCUCCUACCCUCAUAGGCCAAAUAGUGACCUAGAGAAAUUCGAAAUCCCUGGAUCCAAAGGCUUAUACCACAGGGGAGUAGGAAGUGGUGGGCUGGGAAGGGUAGUGGGUUGGGGGUGAGCAAGGAAUGGGUACCCCUUCCCCUUAACCCCCACCUCCUGAUGUAGUCACAACUGUUGUCACCUACUCCUGGGUCGAACCAGUCACUGUUGGGUCAGCUGGCUGGUGAAACCUGUUCUGAUCCAAUUUUUUCAUUUUAUAGAUUGGAGGUCUCCCAGAGAGGUGAAGGGGCAUAUCUGAGGUCACAGAGCCAGUUUUGGGGAGACACUGAAACUCAAAUCCCAGUCUCCUGGUGGCCUUGCCAUGGCUCCUUCCACUCAACCUGUUACCUCUCUGUGUGAGGCAAGAUGGGAAAUGCUGGGAGACUUUGAUAAAGGCUGACAAAAAUGGUUCCCCAUGAGUCUGCAAAUGCGGGGAAGAGAAUCAAAGGGAAAAUAAAUGGCUCCUAUAAAUAUUUAUGUCAAAACCUGGCUCAAUGACCUGCAGAACCAGUAGAGGCUCCGAGAAAAGUUCAGUCCAAGGUUGGAAAAACAAUAGUUAAUUUUUAUCAAAACACUCAGCAGAGUUGAAAAACAGUGUGUUCCAAAAC